AUGAGUCCCCUGGGAAACGCGAUCCGCUUCACUGGCGUUCCGCCCUUGCUUUGGUUCCUACGGCCUACAGAGCCGGAGGAAGGCGAUCCCGGGAAGGGGGGGGGGUGGUGUCCUCAGAGGGGUGGGGACGUGUCAGCUGUGUCUCCACGGAGGGCUGUGUGUCCCCCCCCUACAGGUGGAGCUGCUGCUGCUGCUGCUCGUGUACCCCCGUGGGCGCCCCCCCCCACCACCCAAAACGAAGGGGGGCUGCGGGGAUACCUGAGAGUAUUGGCUCGGGCGCCCGGCCCCCCCCGGCCCAAAGCGUGCAGCCGCUACCUGCGGCGUUUGGCUGCCCGGAGCCUGGGGGGGUUACGGGAGGGCUUUGGCACGAUGGGGAGCCCCGGAGGGGGGUUACGGCUUUGCCUCCGUUUGGAGCCCGACAACGCGAUGCCUCCACAUCCUGCCGGUGCUGCUGCAGGUGGGGGGGGGGGCUCAGGGCUGAUCGGUGCGGUUGGAGUCGGGGGGAGCAGAAUUAAGGCUCACCCUGCGCCCCUCCCGGUUUCCCCCCCCACACUCCGUCCCUUUCACCUGCUGCUUUUCCCUUUUUGUCUUGCUUUUCCCUUUCACUGCUGCUUUUCCCUUUCACUGCUGCUUUUCCUUCACUGCCUGCAUUCCCUUUUAGUCUUGGCUUUUCCCUUUCUCUGCUGCUUUUUCCCUUUCUCUGCUGCUUUUCCCAUUCACUGCUGCUUUUCCCAUUCACUGCUGCUGUUCCCUUUUAGUCUUGCUUUUCCCUUUCACUACUGCUUUUCCCUUUCUCUGCUGCUUUUCCCUUUUAUUCUUGCUUUUCCCUUUCACUAGUGCUUUUCCCUUUUAUUCUUGCUUUUCCCUUUUAGUCUUGCUUUCCCUUUCACUGCUGCUUUUCCCUUUCACUGCUGAUUUUCCCUUUCACUGCUGAUUUUCCCUUUCACUGCUGCUUUUCCCUUUUAGUCUUGCUUUUCCCAUUCACUGCUGCUUUUCCCUUUUAGUCUUGCUUUUCCCUUUCACUGCUGCUUUUCCCUUUUAGUCUUGCUUUUCCCUUUCAGUCUUGCUUUUCCCUUUUAGUCCUGCUUUUCCCAUUCACUGCUGCUCUUCCCUUUCACUGCUGCUCUUCCCUUUCACUGCUGCUCUUCCCUUUCACUGCUGCUUUUCCCUUUCACUGCUGCUUUUCCCUUUCACUGCUGCUCUUCCCUUUUAGUCUUGCUUUUCCCUUUCACUGCUGCUUUUCCCUUUCACUGCUGCUUUUCCCUUUUAGUCCUGCUUUUCCCUUUCACUGCUGCUUUUCCCUUUCACUGCUGCUUUUCCCUUUCACUGCUGCUUUUCCCUUUCAGUCUUGCUUUUCCCUUUUAGUCUUGCUUUUCCCUUUCACUGCUGCUUUUCCCUUUCACUGCUGCUUUUCCCUUUCACUGCUGCUUUUCCCUUUCACUGCUGCUUUUCCCUUUCAGUCUUGCUUUUCCCUUUC
rnacentral:lncRNA from 1 species